rnacentral:lncRNA from 1 species
CUUUGGUAUAAUUGAAUUGGAUAAAAACAUUGAGAAGGAACCAAUCAUAUAAUAUAUUUAUGACAUAACCAAAACAAGAUUAUAAACAAUAACCUGAGGUAUGUAAUGUGUAUUGAGUGGACAGGUGAUUGAUAUAUGAGGUUAAAAGAAAGUCUGUGAAGUCAGCCAGGGCACAUGAACCAAAACAAUACUGAGAUAUCUACUUGUCAACACAUAAAUAUGUAACUUUAUUCUCUAUGUGCCUGUCCAAAGUCAGGAGACUGUAACUCAGUGGUUGUUGUUUGUUGCUGUAUAUCAUUUCCUUGGGUACAUAAAUCAGUCUGUUGGUUUUCUUAUUUGAAUUUUCACAUUUUAUUUUUAUAUGUGGGGCUAUUAUAGUCUGCUAUGCAAUAUGGGUUUUGUCCAUUUUUGAAGGCUAUUUGGUGACCUCGGGGGUCAUUUCAUCGAUGACGAUGACGGAUAGUUGUCUCAUUGGAAAUCAUAUCAUAUCUCCUUAUUUUAUAUCAAUCUGUAUGAUUGGUACUUUAGUGUCUUUGGUGUUUUUUCAAGCUGUUCCUUGAUCUGAUAAAUUGAUCCUGUUUAACUGAUUUUUAUAGCUUUUCUUAUGAUGUGGUAUCACACCACUAUCUUAGCUUUGGGCAGGGUUAGGUCCUUACAAACACCUACCUGUCCAAAGUCAGGUGUCUGAGUAUUGGUUGUUGGUUGCUGAAUGCCAUAUUUGUUUUCCUUUCAUUGUUUUCAAUGAUUAGGAUGUUGGUUUAUUUCUAAAUUGUUUCUUUUUUUGUUAUUUCAUGCCUUUUAUAGCUUACAAUAUUGUAUGGGUUUUUCUGAUUAUUGAAGGUGACCUAUAGCUGCUAACAUCCACACUAUUUUUCUCUGAUUAAAGGUUGUCUCAUUGGCAAUCAUCCUACAUCUCCUUAUUUUUAUAUGAAACCUGAUCAAAUGUUACUGUUUCUCAUAUAUUUGUGCAUUCAAUAAAAAUAAGAUACAUUGAUUUAAUAACUUUCUAAAGAAAAUAUCAUACUGCGCAAUAAAUCUUCUAGUAUCCUUG